rnacentral:rRNA from 1 species
CCUACGGGAGGCAGCAGUAGGGAAUCUUCCACAAUGGGCGAAAGCCUGAUGGAGCAAAGCCGCGUGGGUGAAGAAGGUCUUCGGAUCGUAAAACCCUGUUGUUAGAGAAGAAAGUGCGUGAGAGUAACUGUUCACGUUUCUACGGUAUCACACCAGAAAGCCACGGCUAACUACGUGCAUGCAGCCGAUGGAAUACGUAGGAGGCAAGCGUUAUCCGGAUUUAUUGGGUUUAAAGGGUGCGCAGGUGGAGGCACAAGUCAGCGGGAAAAUAGCGGGGCUCAACCCCGUUCCGACGUUGUAACUGUGUCCCUUGAGUGCUCGAAGGGUAGGCGGAAUGCGUGGUGUAGCGGUGAAAUGCAUAGAUAUCACGCAGAACUCCGAUCGCGAAGGCAGCCUACCGGCGCGCAACUGACGCUCAUGCACGAAAGCGUGGGUAUCGAACAGGAUUAGAUACCCGUGUAGUC